AAAAAACAGAGUACGAUCUAUAUAGAAUCGGAUGUAAGGAUGGAAUUCUAGAAAAACUUUAUUGUAGGUCUGAAUUUAUAACAUGUAAAGAAAAAUUCAUCACAUAUAGUCAAGUUCUAAAAAAUCAUAUUUCCCUCCGUGUAGCUGCAACAAAAGCAUCAACGGGGUCAGGGCAAGGAUUUGUAAAAUGCAUAUGUAAAACAUCCUGCAGAACAAAUCGUUGUUUAUGUAAAAAAAAAUAAAAUUCUAUGUAACUCUAAAUGCCACGAUAGUUUGUCAUGUCAAAAUAAAUAAUACAAUAAAUGUUUAUAUUUAA